rnacentral:rRNA from 1 species
GAUGAACGCUGGCGGCGUGCCUAAUACAUGCAAGUCGAACGCUGAAGGAGGAGCUUGCUCUUCUGGAUGAGUUGCGAACGGGUGAGUAACGCGUAGGUAACCUGCCUGGUAGCGGGGGAUAACUAUUGGAAACGAUAGCUAAUACCGCAUGACAACAGUUAUUGCAUGAUAACUGUUUAAAAGGGGCAACUGCUCCACUACCAGAUGGACCUGCGUUGUAUUAGCUAGUUGGUGAGGUAACGGCUCACCAAGGCGACGAUACAUAGCCGACCGAGAGGGUGAUCGGCCACACUGGGACUGAGACACGGCCCAGACUCCUACGGGAGGCAGCAGUAGGGAAUCUUCGGCAAUGGACGGAAGUCUGACCGAGCAACGCCGCGGGAGUGAAGAAGGGUUUCGGAUCGUAAAGCUCUGUUGUAAGAGAAGAACGAGUGUGAGAGUGGAAAGUUCACACUGUGACGGUAUCUUACCAGAAAGGGACGGCUAACUACGUG